rnacentral:rRNA from 1 species
AACCUUACCUGGGCUUGAUAUCCUAAGAACCUCUUAGAGAUAAGAGGGUGCUAGCUUGCUAGAACUUAGAGACAGGUGCUGCACGGCUGUCGUCAGCUCGUGUCGUGAGAUGUUGGGUUAAGUCCCGCAACGAGCGCAACCCACGUAUUUAGUUGCUAACGGUUCGGCCGAGCACUCUAAAUAGACUGCCUUCGUAAGGAGGAGGAAGGUGUGGACGACGUCAAGUCAUCAUGGCCCUUAUGCCCAGGGCGACACACGUGCUACAAUGGCAUAUACAAUGAGACGCAAUACCGCGAGGUGGAGCAAAUCUAUAAAAUAUGUCCCAGUUCGGAUUGUUCUCUGCAACUCGAGAGCAUGAAGCCGGAAUCGCUAGUAAUCGUAGAUCAGCCAUGCUACGGUGAAUACGUUCCCGGGUCUUGUACUCACCGCCCGUCACACCAUGGGAGUUGAUUUCACUCGAAGCCGGAAUACUAAACUAGUUACCGUCCACAGUGGAAUCAGCGACUGGGGUGAAGUCGUAACAAGGUAACCGUAGGAGAACCUGCGGUUGGAUCACCUCCUUUCUAG